rnacentral:lncRNA from 1 species
GAGAAGAAAACAAGAGGAUGUAAUAAAUGCCUAUAUAUGGAUUAUCGAUUGCUUUGUAAGAACCAUACCGUACUCUGAAAUAGUCCUGCAAUAACAUUCUUAAAAAUUAAAAUCCUCGUAUCAACAACAACAACAACAAUAACUACCCAGUAUAUUCCCACUAGGUGGGGUCUGGGGAGGAUAAUAUGUAGACGAGCCUUACCCCUGCCCGAAAGGACAGAGAGGCUGUUUCCAGUCGACCCUCGGCGUAUAGGAUAAAAAAGGGAAAGUUGCAUUAAGAAACAAAGGUAAAAUUAGAAACACAAACAAGACAAAACAAAAUAAUAAAGCACAAGUACUCCCGCAGAAAUAACGUAAAUAAUUAUGGAAACAUAAGCAACAUAAAUACAGUCGCAUGCAAUAAUANNNN